rnacentral:rRNA from 1 species
UNUGGAAACUGUCUGACUUGAGUGCAGAAGGGGGGAGUGGAAUUCCAUGUGUAGCGGUGAAAUGCGUAGAUAUAUGGAGGAACACCAGUGGCGAAAGCGGCUCUCUGGUCUGUCACUGACGCUGAGGCUCGAAAGCGUGGGUAGCGAACAGGAUUAGAUACCCUGGUAGUCCACGCCGUAAACGAUGAGUGCUAGGUGUUAGGCCCUUUCCGGGGCUUAGUGCCGGAGCUAACGCAAUAAGCACUCCGCCUGGGGAGUACGACCGCAAGGUUGAAACUCAAAGGAAUUGACGGGGCCCGCACAAGCGGUGGAGCAUGUGGUUUAAUUCGAAGCAACGCGAAGAACCUUACCAGGUCUUGACAUCCCGAUGCUAUUCUUAGAGAUAGGAAGUUACUUCGGUACAUCGGAGACAGGUGGUGCAUGGUUGUCGUCAGCUCGUGUCGUGAGAUGUUGGGUUAAGUCCCGCAACGAGCGCAACCCUUAUUGUUAGUUGCCAUCAUUAAGUUGGGCACUCUAGCGAGACUGCCGGUAAUAAACCGGAGGAAGGUGGGGAUGACGUCAAAUCAUCAUGCCCCUUAUGACCUGGGCUACACACGUGCUACAAUGGUCGGUACAACGAGUUGCGAGCCGGUGACGGCAAGCUAAUCUCUGAAAGCCGAUCUCAGUUCGGAUUGG